rnacentral:sRNA from 1 species
AUUUCCUCAUGGUUGUGAUUCCUCUUCACUCUUUUGAAUUUGGAAGGAUGGCAUACACAUCUGAAAAAUAGUAAGUAAUGUGUGAUUUAUUUUUCAAUUACUGUUACUAAUUGUAAUAAAGCUGAAAUUUGAUUACUGGAGGAGUUUGAAAUCAUCAUGCAUGCCUUGAAGGAAAAUGGGUUUUGUGCAACAUUUGCAUUAUUUGGUGUGAAUUACCUUUGGUUUGAUUUAACUAUUUAUCACACAAUUACUGUUGUGAUAAUGAAUGUGUUAUUCACUGUUGCUAAAUUUACCCAGUAUAUUCUG